rnacentral:rRNA from 1 species
UACGAAGGGUGCAAGCGUUACUCGGAAUUACUGGGCGUAAAGCGUGCGUAGGUGGUUUGUUAAGUCUGUUGUGAAAGCCCCGGGCUCAACCUGGGAAUGGCAAUGGAUACUGGCAGGCUAGAGUGCGGUAGAGGGUAGUGGAAUUCCCGGUGUAGCGGUGGAAUGCGUAGAGAUCGGGAAGAACAUCAGUGGCGAAGGCGGUCUGCUGGGCCGUUGCUGACGCUGAGGCGCGACAGCGUGGGGAGCAAACAGG